GCUUAUGACAUUUAUGGUGAAUGAAGUAACUAAUUGAUUUGACGGUCUUAAGAAAAGUUAGAGGAACCUGUUCUUUAAUAGAUAAAACACUAUAAAAUUAACUUAUUUUAAUAAUUUGUAUACCGUUAUUGUUAAUAAAUGAAUUUUAUUGAAUUAGUAGAAAAUUUUGAAAUUUUAAAUCAAGGUGCAGUUUAUAUUUAAGGAUGAAAUGGGUUACAGUUAUGAAAAUAAUACGGAGUAUUUUAGUUUAGAUGAUUAUGAAGAUGGAUUUAAUAGUAAUAUUAAAAUAAUAUAUUAAUAUGAUUUAAAGUAGUUGAGAUGU
rnacentral:rRNA from 1 species